GCACCGCGGGGGUUACAUAACCGCGGGCGGGUGGGCGGGUGCAAAGGCUCUGGAGUACCUUACAUAACUCACGGGUCGGGCAAGGGCGGCUCUCGGCCAAUCCCGGCCAAGUGGAGUGGCCUGGAGGACUACAGGGCUGGGCCGCGCAAGCCUCCUGCUGGGUUUUUCCGGAGGCGGGGCCUUGGGGCUGUCAGUCACGAGAGGGCGGGGUCUGCGCGGACAACACGUGAAUGGAACUGGUGGCACUUUUGGGUCCGCAGGCCUUUGGGGCUCCUCGGUGUCCCAGGAAUGCAGUGCUUUCGGGUUCCCAUUGUUUUACUCUUACCUAAACUUGCUGCCUUCUCUCUCCCGCCGAUAUAGGUGGGCGAACCCAGGUAGACUCCAACCGUAUUUUCAGAAAUACAAGUUUAAUGGUACAAAGUAACUUCCCUGGCUGCCCUCAAGUUACAGGUUCAUUUGGCAAUCGGAGGAAGACAGCAUUGUAAUCGACGCUCCGUUUUCGAGGAAACAGCCGGGACGCUCAUUUUACAUAACCAUCUCUAGUCGUCAGAAACGAAAGGCAAAUUAACCCACCUUGCUGCUGCUGCUGUACUCUGCUGUUAUCAGAACUCAACGUGUUAUCAUGGCUUCUGCACGGGCUGAACACCAGAUGUUUGCCAGGAAUCCCCCAGGCCAGCAGUGCCACAUGGGAACUUCUGAUCACUCAGGCCCAUGGACCAAGCAGCUAUCAGCUUCAUAGCUUCCUCAGUGUGAGGUAGACCAUAUACAUCAGCCAAUCUAAAAAUCUCUCUCUCUCUCUCUCUCUCUCUCUCUCUCUCUCUCUCUCACACACACACACACACUUCAUCUUAUCUUCUGUUGCUCUAGAGAACCCUAAGGACUAUGUACUCCUAGGAGAAUAGAGCAGAAAAAAGGUAGUUUGUCAGGGAGCGAGGGAGAACAUCAAGGGUUAGAAGUUUAGGACAUGCAUCAGGUAUAUCCCCCACUCCACUCCAAGAAACAAGACACAGGUUCAUGUUAAUAACUUUAUUCCGGUCACCAUAGCGGGAACAUUCCCAGCUAAAUGCACAGAGAAGCGAGGUAUUACUGUGUUAAUACAGGAGCCAACGACUUACAUGGGACAGAGUACGAGGAGACAGCACCAAAGUUGUGGGGUCAGACCAGGACAGAGGCCCUAGCUAUGUGGCAAGGCAUGUCUUCAACACUUGUUUUGUUUCAGUAAUGUUAGGGGAUCAGAUAAAAAAAACUAGAACCAGAUCCUAUGACAUUUUGGCUAAUGCUGCUUUGCACACAGACACACAUUUCAGGACAUCCUGGUGGCACUGCCACAGUCUCCCAGAACUCUGUGCAGACUGUUGCCUUUGUGAGGCUUCAGAUGCUGCUCUCAUCACACUAGUGGCCACAGGCUAGUGCAGUCUGCAAACUACUAUCUUGCAUACAGGUGUGAUUUGAGGUCACCUCUAUCGCUCUAGGAAAGAAACCACAUCAGGAUGAGAAGCUGUACCUACAGCAUUCCACAGGAAGGACUGUCAAGAUGCUGCGGGCUCAGACAGUACUAACAUUUUUUCUUAAAGGGCACCUUGAGUUACACUUGGCACUUAUUUGAAUUUACUACUGGGGGACAAACUUAUGGACAAUUCAUUUGUAUUUAACUUUUGGCAAAAUAGAAACUUUGGUCACAGUUCUAUAAAAACUUCCUAAAGGGUUAUUUCUGAUUAAAAUACUGUUUUAGAAGUGAUACACAACAAGAACUAGAAAGUGAACAUCUCCGUAUCUAACAUAAGAGCAUGAGCUCUUCACCAGCAUCUUAAAUACAGCGGGGUCGGUAGUGCUUACAAAAGUACUCUUAAUGAAAAGUUACCUAGUUAUCAAAAUAAGGCACGCCC